rnacentral:misc_RNA from 1 species
GAUGAAGAACGCAGCGAAAUGCGAUACGUAAUGUGAAUUGCAGAAUUCAGUGAAUCAUCGAAUCUUUGAACGCAUAUUGCGCUCUCUGGUAUUCCGGAGAGCAUGCUUGUUUGAGUAUCAGUAAACACCUCAACUCCCUUUUCUUUUUUGAAAUUGGAGCUGGACUUGAGUGAUCCCAACGCUUUCUUCCAAGAAAGUGGCGGGUUGCUUGAAAUGCAGGUGCAGCUGAACUUUUCUCUGAGCUAUAAGCAUAUCUAUUUAGUCUGCCUAAAAAACAGAUUAUUACCUUUGCUGCAGCUAACAUAAAGGAGAUUAGUUCUUGUGCUGACUGAUGCAGGAUUCACAGAGACAGCUUCGGCUGGCCUUUGUAAACUCGAUCUCAAAUCAAGUAAGACUACCCGCUGAACUUAAGCAUAUCAAUAAGCGGAGGA